rnacentral:rRNA from 1 species
UACAGAGGUCUCAAGCGUUGUUCGGAUUCAUUGGGCGUAAAGCGUGUGUAGGCGGAUCGUUAAGUGCCUUGUGAAAUCCCACGGCUUAACCGUGGAACUGCUUGGCAUACUGGCGGUCUUGAGCAACCUAGGGGCGAGCGGAACAAAUGGUGGAGCGGUGAAAUGCGUAGAUAUCAUUUGGAACGCCAAUGGUGAAAACAGCUCGCUGGGGGUUUGCUGACGCUGAGACACGAAAGCCAGGGGAGCAAACGGG